rnacentral:rRNA from 1 species
CAAUAGCGUAUAUUUAAGUUGUUGCAGUUAAAAAGCUCGUAGUCGGAUUUUGGCUGAGAACGAUCGGUCCGCCGUUAGGUGUGCACUGAUUGGUCUCAGCUUCCUGGUGAGGAGGUGUGCUUCACGGCCACUUAGUCACCGUGGUUACUUUGAAAAAAUUAGAGUGUUCAAAGCGGGCUUACGCUUGAAUAUAUUAGCAUGGAAUAACACCAUAGGACUCCUGUCCUAUUUCGUCGGUCUCGGGACGGGAGUAAUGAUUAAGAGGAACAGUUGGGGGCAUUCGUAUUUCAUUGUCAGAGGUGAAAUUCUUGGAUUUAUGAAAGACGAACUUCUGCGAAAGCAUUUGCCAAGGAUGUUUUCAUUGA